rnacentral:rRNA from 1 species
UACAGAGGUGGCGAGCGUUGUUCGGAUUUACUGGGCGUAAAGGGAGCGUAGGCGGACUUUUAAGUGAGAUGUGAAAUACCCGGGCUUAACUUGGGUGCUGCAUUUCAAACUGGAAGUCUAGAGUGCAGGAGAGGAGAAUGGAAUUCCUAGUGUAGCGGUGAAAUGCGUAGAGAUUAGGAAGAACACCAGUGGCGAAGGCGAUUCUCUGGACUGUAACUGACGCUGAGGCUCGAAAGCGUGGGGAGCAAACAGGAUUAGAUACCCU